GAGCCUCCAGGAGCCUGGAGGAGAGGACUCAGGCCCCAGGAGUUCCCGCUGGGCCCACGCGCCUCCGUGUCCUCUGGCCCCACCACCUCUGCACCCAUGAGAGCCGCGGAGGAAGCUCUCUCCUCCUGGCCCUCUGCCCGCCGCUUCCAGGAGCCCUGGGAGGACGAUGUAUCUGUAUAAGGACAACCUCCUGAGCCGAGAGACGGUCACUUACCUGAGGAGGAAGAGCCAGUCAGAGCUCAAGGGCUGCAGGGGCCUUCCGGGAGGCGCUGGGGCUGCAUCUAUGGCUUUGUUGUUACCAGCGAGAAGCGAGUCCCUCAGUCCCAGUAACAGUAAAUGCCAGCUGCCUCCCAGUCCAGGGAGACGGUGCCGCCGGGAAGACCAGCCCGUGACCAGCUUCUAGCAUGACUUGAAGAAAAAAAUCACCAUGUUUCGUGCACCUCAUCACCGGUGUUGCCUUCGUCUUUCAGUGCUGGCUCUAACCGCGUGGCUGUUGGUUAACCCCUCCACGAGAGAUGGACUGUCCCCCGGACGUGGCCCAAGUUGGUUCCAUACACGCUGUUUUCCUUCGGAGCCCUUGUCACAUCCUGUCGUCAUCGGUUUGCUUACACUGGACUCACCUGCCUUGUUUGCUCUCGUGGCCUCUGAGCCUCAUUCACCUCCUGGUACCUCAUAAUCUCGGUGAACCUGUGACUUGUGAACAGGUGCACGUGGCUGGAGUACCUCAUCCCAGCUUCUGAUCCUCUCUGUCUUUUCCUGGACUCGGACACCCUGGCUGAUUUGCUAUCCUUUCCUCCAGAGAAGCCCCCAGAUCCACAGCUUCUACGCACUGAUGCCCAAUACUUGUCUUUCCUACCAAUUUCCACAUGCUGACUGUCACAUCUAUGGAAAUGUUAUCCAAUGAUUCUUCAGUGUUCCCCGUUCCCAGGAACAGGGGAUGGGGAGUGGGGGGUACCAUUUCUUGAAGAGCUAGGUACCUGUGCCUUAUUUGAGAUACUUACAGGUUCACGACUCUGAGAAUCAACACUAUUAUUUCCACUUUACCAAUAAAGAAACAAAAGCUCAAAAAAGGAUCGAAUAGCUUGUCCAAGCUGCGUAAGGAAAAUCUGAAUCCUGGUCUUUCCGAUCUCAAAGCUUACACGGCUCGUCAGUCUGCCCCCAGUUUAAGCAGGCUGUUAAAUCGGAGGUUGCUUAAUAGCCCUUGACGUGAAAAAGGCAGCACACAGGUACUAACUCAGAUAAGCUACUUCUUGGGAGGAAAGGGGGAGAUCAGGCAAAGAUAUUAUCGGUAGACCGAUUCCAAGCAAGGAUUGACAGAGGUCAGCCUCUAAAACCGUAAAGCUUCAAGAGGAAGACCAUUAGCCCCUAAGAAGCCCGCCUUUGGGGCCCUCUGUGUCAGGGGGCUGACGGCGGGGGGUGGACGUCAACCCCUGACCCCUCUGGAGAAGGUGGCAGGAACCCCGUGAGUGAAGCCCGCUCACUGGCUGUCGCUCCCCCUUUUGGCGAUGCUGGGAGCAGCCCGCAGCCCUGUGCUCAGGUGAGAGCAGCUGUAGAAGGUGCAGGUCUCCAGCGCUCAUGGGAGGGGAGAGGCACGGCGCCGGCCGUUCGCGGGCGCUGUCAGGCUCACGCCCUCAGAGCUGAGAAGUCUCAUUGCCGCCUCGGACGGUGCUCCUGACCCAGCCUGCCUGUGCUCCGUCUCCCCACCUGUAGGCGAUGCCCGUGCAUCGGAGUCUUUGCAGGCUGAGACCCAGGCCACAGGACCCUUCCCGGCCCCUUAAAGGAGAAUCAUGCUGCAGCGUGAGGUUUUGUCACCUGCUUGGACCAGAGGCUUAAAUGAACUGUUCCACAUACUUUUCCAAAUACUGGAAAGCUCCCAGAAAACAAUAGGCUGGCGCUCCCUGCAGUCUGAAGCACGGUUACUGUCACAAAGGGACAGAGCUCUUCCGUGACUUGGGUCCUUUCCUCGUGUGUAUGAUGGGACAACUCUGGAAGCAUGCUCUCUUUUUAUAACAGUGUUUUAAAAUAUUCCAGAAUCGGGUGCGACUUAAUAGCUUUGCAUUGGCUUGAAUUUUGUGUUCACCCUGACAGAUCUUCCUUCCCAUUUGUACUUUUCUGCUUGACUUUUUUAGAUUUAUUUUUCUGGUGUUAGACAGUAUGGAAUAUACCUAUUGCUUGUCUCAGCCAUUUCUCUUACUGGCCAAGAUCCUGUUGAAUGCCCACCCCACUCUCGAGAACCUCCCUGAUGUAUCAUGUCCCUGUUUUGACGGCAUCUUGAAGCACCUGAGCAUGGGCACUCCCCUGGUCCCUUGGCCUAAAGAGCACACGCUAAGUUUCCUUCUGUGGUCGGUCCUGAUGCGUCCGCUGAUGAGCAAGCCUGCUCUCUGGCCUCGCUGUGGUUAAGUACCUCAUCCAGGGCGUUGUAAUCAUUAACUUAGACACUUCAAUCAGUGGUCACUUGACAGGACAGACUUUCCUGCAUCGCACUGCUGAGUCACACAGCCUCUCACUGGCUGAACCGUGAGCGUCGGAGAGUCAGGCCUCCCCAAGGAACCUUCCUUGGAUCUGCUCCGAAGCCCUCCCAGGAGCCAGGCAGGUCCCCCUGCAUGGAAGACUAAUUUUUAGGGAUGGGGACCUGUGCGACCUGGGCUUCCACUCCUGUGAUGUGCUCAAAGGUGAAUGCCAGCUUCAGUGUUAGACCACGUAGGCGGAGGAUGUCCUGUGGCUCCAGGUCUAAAGUGCCCUCCACCCGAGGUCGGAUUUACAGGCUCAUGCUGCCCUCUGCUGGCCAUCUGGAGUCUGUGCUGCUGCAGAAGAAGGCAAAAUCAAUUCUGAAAAUUGAAACCUCCUAUCUUCUGUGCAGGCUGCUUUCAUGCUUUUCCUCCAUGAUUGGAGGUACAAGAUCAAUACCAUGUUUUAUUUCAGAAGACAUCUUGCUGAUCAAACCUUGAUGGUCUGCAAAACGCACAGCCUGGGCGGCAGGCAGGGGGCGUGGGGGUGGGGGGGAACAGUUUCCUUAGCAGCAGCCACACCGGCUUGAGGAGGUGUGUGGUGCUCACUGUACAGGAAAGAGAGGUGCUCCUUCAUCCUCCUUAAAAAAAAUUCAUCUCUUUAUCACAGUGGUAGAGUAGCAAGAGAAAACAACUGAUUUUGCUUCCUCUGCUGCUCUGGAUUAGUUCCUAAGGGUUCAUACUGUCAUUUAAAUUCCAGGUGCUCAUCUUCUGAAGAAACGCCCCCUUAGGAUUUCUGUGCCUGGAAAAUACCCAUCAACAGACUGCUUUGAUAUCUUGUGUAAGUAGAGGCUUGUGCUCAUAAAUCAGUCUCAAGGGAGCUUUGGUUUAUUUUCUUGGAUGAUUCACCAGUACAUUUUCUAAAUGAUCAUCAGUGUUUGAUCUCUAUUUCUUUCCUCCUAAAUACUCAACUUUCAAUCGAUUCUCAGAAGAAGUCCCUAACAUGAACUCCUGCUUAAAACCAGGGUUAUGGAUCUCAUUUUCAGGUCUUAAAAUAAGAACAGACAGAAAAUGUUACAGCUGCUUACUUCCAUUAACUCAGCUGGAAACGCCGUUUGUGGAUCCGAGGGCACCUUUUCAGGGUUCGGGGCACGUCAGGCUCCUCUGGGGUUAGCGACUGUGGGACGCUCACCUGUAGCGCAGACGUGAACACAGGAGCCGGGAGCCCUUCUGUUUGGGAGGCCGAAGCAGGUCUCUUAGCCACGCUCUGCUUCUGACGUGGUGAAGAAAAGCGAAGUCAUUGUUUUAUCGUCGUAACCAUCACCGAGUGAAUGGGAACCCGUGCUGUUUCUAGCUUUUCCUUAUCUAGCUGAACUCUCACAACAAGCUUAUGUGGUAUAGACCCUGAUUUCACAGAUGAGGCAACUGAGAAUGGCGGGGGCUGCUGGACUAAGAGGACGUGAGCUUCCUUAGAUUAGUGGGAAAACAAGUCUUUAAAGAAGAUGUGACUUGCUUAAGGUCACCCUGCAGGUCAGAGUGUGGCUGAGGGUCCAGGGCCAAAGCUGGUCGUAAUUGUUUGCUCACGUGCUUAUUGAUGAAACCCUGAAACUCGGAGCCGAUUGAUGUUCAGAGUUCUGUGUAGCCACGCGGAGAUGAGCCCUUACCAUUUCUAUAAAGCACCAAGCGGCAAAGACUGACGCCUGGGAGCCUGGGCCUGGAAUCUCGCAAGGCAGGGCCUGAAUCCUGGGCUUGCCGUCCACAGGCUUUGUGUCCAAGAGCGAGACCUGUACCCUCGCAAAAUCUGUUCCUUCCCCUGGAAAAUGGAGAUAACGCCACCAGCCUUGUUAGGUGGCUGUGAACACUGAGAGAGCACAUGGCAUAGUGCUGGCACAGAACUAAGCCUUCCAGAAAUGGAUGCUGCUACUGUUUUCAGAGCACCUUCUCCAUCUGCUUCUCGGUUCAUUCAGACCUUCACCCGGAAAAGGCACUCCAGUGUUCUGAUCUGAUGAAACAGUGAACAUUUGUGAGGUGCUUUAAAAAUUACAGAUGUUUCUGUAUACUCCCGAGCACCACUGCAGGAUAGGAAUCUGCAUCUCCGCUCUCCAGAUCGGCAUUCUUAGGCUCGGCAAAAUCACAUGCUCCCCAGGAUCCUGUAGUUAGUCAACAGCACAGCCAGGACCUCAACUCAGAGCUGCAGCUCCGGACCCUGUGCUGAAUAACUUCAUUUGCUUCCUGUGAGGCAGCAUUUAUUAGAGGCAUGUACGUUAACAGAAAAGCACUUCCCACCCUGGGAUCCCAACCGGCCACAGCUGCAUCUUUAAUCUGGCCUAAAUAUUCAAGUUAGGACUCCUGUAUCCCGAUGUCUGUAACAUUUGGAAGCCACUGUCUUAAAGACGUGUCCUAGUCAGAUACGGUCUCCUCGGGUAUUUAAGCCCCAAGGGACGUUACCUUAAUCCGGUUUUCCUGCAAGAACAGACUGGCAUUUCACGUCAAGGGAAACACCGUGUCGCCACUGUUCUGCUUUUGCCACACUGGAGUUACCUGUGUGGUUUACGGAGUCACAUUUCAGGCUCUACCUUGCCUAUCAGAUCCGGAAGCAAAAAUCCAGAGAAGGGCAGCUUGCUCAAAAAGAGCAUCAAGUAUGGCAGGGCAGGUGGGAUUUUGAAAUGGAAACACAUUCCUGUGGCUUUUGGGCUGAGGGAGACGGAGGAAGGAUUUUGUUCCUGACAAGUGGUUCCCUUUGUGCUGGGGAUGGAGCAUUCAGCAGGGUUAAACGUGUGUUCCAUGUGUAAGUGGUGGGAACAAAUAACACGCCUUUCCAAUGAUGCAAUACCUUAAACAUGGCUGAGGGUUAAAAUAGGAGCACCCUGAGUUACAGAGAGUCAGCCCUGUCCAUCUCCUGGCCUGAACAUGCAGAACAGUGGGGUCGAUUGUUGGAGACGGAGGGCAGGAAGGCGUGGAAAGAUGCUGUCGUGACCGAGUAAGAUCUUUCCCUGCAGGUCAGUGUCGCUGACGGACUCGGCAGAGUAAGCAGAUGCCAGGUGCUGGGGCCCGUUUUCCCACGUGUGUCCUGGAAGGAGAAGGAACGAGCCCCUGAUUUUUUUUUCCACAUCCCUACUAGGGAACCAUGGGAUUUUUUUCCCCCUGUGUGAGUUUGAUAGCCACCCUGCCCACUCAGACCUCUUUGCAGGAAACCGGCCUCUUGCUUUAGAAGAUGAUACAAAAACAGAGGCCCAAACUCAGGAGCUCUAUUUCAGUGUAUUUUGUGGACGUCAUUUUAUAAUCGCCAACUAAGUACCUCUGGUUCCCACCAAGGGCUUGCCAGCUUCAAGGACAGAUACACUACAUGACUGAUUCUGGUGCUAAUUACUCUUUUUCUGCUAAAAAUGCCUCCUCAUUUGAAGAGCCAUAGAUGGGAAAGAAUAUAUCCACCUUUUUUCUGCUGAUUUUUUUGAAAAGGCGUAUUUAAAGGAUAAUACAGUACCAUCUGUUUGUUUCUGCUGAGGGAAGAGAACAGUAUGGUUGCAUGUGUAUUAUGUGUAUGCGUGUGCAGGUAUGUACAUGUGCAGAUGUGACCUUUACUUGAUGUAUGAGAUAUGUAUGACCUUAGAUAUAAGUAAAAGGAAGAAAGUCAUUCUUUAGGAAAAAAAUUUCCCCGUAACUGAAAUGUCAGUCAUUAGUUAAAAAUGAAAAAAAAUUAGGGUGUUCCUGUCAUGGCUCAGUGGUACAAACCUGACUCGUAUCCAUGAGGAUGUGGGUUCGACUCCUUGUUCUGUGGGUUAAGGACCCGGCAUUGCUGUGAGCUGUGGUGUAGGUCACAGACGUGGCUCAGAUCCCACGCUGGUAUGGCCGUGACAUAGGCCAGCAGCUACAGCUCUGAUUUGACCUCUAGCCUGGGAACUUCCAUAUG
rnacentral:lncRNA from 1 species